rnacentral:rRNA from 1 species
AUUGAACGCUGGCGGCAUGCCUUACACAUGCAAGUCGAACGGCAUCGCGGGAAAGCUUGCUUUCCUGGCGGCGAGUGGCGAACGGGUGAGUAACACAUCGGAACGUACCGGCUAGUGGGGGAUAACCCGUCGAAAGACGGGCUAAUACCGCAUACGCUCUUCGGAGGAAAGCAGGGGACCUUUGGGCCUUGCGCUAGCCGAGCGGCCGAUGUCCGAUUGGCUAGUUGGUGGGGUAAAGGCCUACCAAGGCGACGAUCGGUAGCGGGUCUGAGAGGACGAUCCGCCACACUGGGACUGAGACACGGCCCAGACUCCUACGGGAGGCAGCAGUGGGGAAUCUUGGACAAUGGGGGCAACCCUGAUCCAGCAAUGCCGCGUGGGUGAAGAAGGCCUUCGGGUUGUAAAGCCCUUUCGGCAGGGAAGAAAUCGGCGGGGCGAAUAACCCUGCUGGAUGACGGUACCUGCAGAAGAAGCACCGGCUAACUACGUG